AUGCUUCAGAGAGAUAGAUCAGGGAUAUUCUGCAGAGAACGCCGAGACAGAAGCUCAACAGCCAACUUGAUACCUUCAACAUCUUGUCCAGACAACAAACUCAGGAUGACGUACAUCACAGAACUUGCUGUUUCAAUCAAUGUCGAUCAGGAGCAAGCCCUACGCAAUCAAGGUUUCAAGUCAGAUUAUGUUGAUCUGAACCAAGGUGCAGGAGGAAACAAGGUUUACCUCUGGUACAAGAAAGGCACAUGUGAUCCCAUCACCAGAUUGCAGGUUGCAUUCAUGGAUGACAUGAACAAGGGUUUGAGAAAUGCAGGUUAUAUUCAGGUAGAUGGAAACCUCAACGCAGGGAAUUGUGGAGUUGGCAUCUUUCUGUGGUACUACAAAGGUACAACUGAGUAUGACAACCCUAUAUUGGAACUCAAGGUCACCACAGAUGUGGAAGAUGAAGCCCCAUUUUUCAAAAAUGGCUGGGAACGACUGGCGUCUGAUCUGAAUCGCAACUGUUGUGGGAACCAAAUCCAUCUCUGGGCGCUGAAAGAGAAGAAAAUGUACAUCUCUGACAUCACUGUCACCACUAGUUUUGGAACGGAUGGGGUUCUUUUUAACGAUGGCUACACCCGUGUGGAUGAAGAUGUGAAUCGAAAGGGAGAAAAAAAUAAAGAUAACUCCGGCUUCAUCUGGUAUCGUUGUUCCGAAUCGGCCGAAGAAGGUUUUAGUGACCUGGAUGUCUCUACUAACAACAAAGAGGAGGAAAACCUUCAGCAAAGGGGCUAUACCAGUCUUAGUGCUAACCUCAAUGAAGGAGCAGGAGGCAACCAGAUCUACCUCUGGUACAAGAAGGGUUCAGAUCAUCCCAUCUCAACCCUGACUAUGAUCACGGUUGGAGCAAAGGGUCCUUAUGGGAAUGCCAGGUACAACGGAGUGCCAUUGUUGCCUGUAUUCAGACUUUUUCCAAUGACACUGAUGCCGGCCUUCUCAUAAGGACCCUUUGCUCCAACCAUGAUCAUAGUGAGGGUUGAGAUGGGAUGAUCUGAACCCUUCUUGUACCAGAGAUAGAUCUGGUUGCCUCCUGCUCCUUCAUUGAGGUUAGCACUAACACUGGUAUAGCCCCUUUGCUGAAGGUUUUCCUCCUCUUUGUUGUUAUUAAAGACAUUCGGGUCACUAAAACCUUCUUGGGCCGAUUCAGAACAACGAUACCAGAUGAAGCCGGAGGUUAUUCUUAUAUUUCGAUUCACAUCUUCAUCCACACGGGUGUAGCCAUCGUUAAAAAGAUCAUCAUCAGUUCCAAAACUCGUGGUGGCAGUGAUGUCAGAGAUGUACAUUUUCUUCUCUUUCAGCGCCCAGAGAUGGAUUUGGUUCCCACAACAGUUGCGAUUCAGAUCAGACGCCAGUCGUUUGCAGCCAUUAUUGAAAAAUGGGGCUUCAUCUUCCACAUAUGUGGUUACCUUGAGUUCCACUAUAGGGUUGUCAUAUUCAGUUGUACCUUUGUAGUACCAGAGAAAGAUGCCAUCUCCACAAUUCCCCGCGUUGAGGUUUCCAUCUACCGGAAUAUAACCUGCAUUUCUCAAACCCUUGUUCAUGUCAUCCAUGAAUGCAACCUGCAAUCUGGUGAUGGGAUCACAUGUGCCUUUCUUGUACCAGAGGUAAACCUUGUUUCCUCCUGCACCUUGGUUCAGAUCAUCAUAAUCUGACUUGAAACCUUGAUUGCGUAGGGCUUGCUCCUGAUCGACAUUGAUUGAAACAGCAAGUUCUGUGAUGUACAUCAUCCUGAGUUUGUUGUCUGGACAAGAUGUUGAAGGUAUCUGUACAAAACAUGAAAGUGUGUGUUUAAUAUUUAAACCAAAAAAGGCAAAUGUAACUAACAGUC
ensembl:lncRNA